rnacentral:rRNA from 1 species
GUCCACGCCCUAAACGAUGGAUACUAGCUGUUGGGGGCAACUUCAGUGGCUAAGAGAAAGUGAUAAGUAUCCCACCUGGGGAGUACGUUCGCAAGAAUGAAACUCAAAAGGAAUUGACGGGGGCCCGCACAAGCGGUGGAGCAUGUGGUUUAAUUCGAUGAUACGCGAGGAACCUUACCAAGGCUUAAAUGUAGAUUGACCGGUUUGGAAACAGACUUUUCGCAAGACAAUUUACAAGGUGCUGCAUGGUUGUCGU